rnacentral:lncRNA from 1 species
GUUUAGCCUCUGUUAGAUUCUAACAUAUUUUGCCAGGUAAAGACAUACAUUUUUUAACUAGGGACUAAGCCUACAACAUUUGAAAAUUAACAUAAGCGCUAUGUAUAUUUUAAUAAUUUUUUUGUGAGCUCGUCCAAAAUUAAUUUUAACUGCAUAGGUUACUGGGCCUUUGCUUCCCCUUCUUAUUAGAAAUACACUAUAAUUUAGGAUAGUAAAAUAAAUUACACAAUUGACAACAUUAUCCCCCCUCCAUCUAAGCUGUCAUAAAAUGCUACCCCAAACAUUGUCCAACUUUGAUAAAUGAUCAAAUAUGUCAAAUGAAAUAAUAUAAAAUCUUUGUGUGCUGCAAUUUAAAUAUUUUUUUAUAAAUGAUUUUUAAAUUGAUAUUGACUUUUGGAUAUGUUAAGUUAAUUUCACUCCAUGACUCCACUCCAACACUCACCACUCCACCCACUCCACUCCAAUACUCCACUCCACUCCACUCCACCUUUUAG